UCAGUGGAUGAAGUGGUGCUACAAGUUCACAAGAUUCUGCUUCCAGAUCGGAAGUGCCAUCAUCUUAAACUACAUCGCGGUGGUGCUCAUGGUCAUCCUCUCCUUCCUUUCCGCUUUCAACCUCUUCCGCCUCUACUCCCCUAAACGUUAUUUUCAGUUCAAGUCCUCCUAAUUAUAUAAUUACUCUUUAAUCCUUUUCUUAAUCUAGAAUAAUGUUGAGUAAUGCAAAGAAAAGUGUGGUUAAUUAUUGAUAUGAAUCUAAAUUAUAUAAUUUGUGUAUCGUCAAGUGAAUGCAUAUUUUUCUUAUACAAUAGAUGAACAAUAAAUAUCAUGAGUCUAUUGCUUGAGAAUAUAGGUGUGUACGUAGUACGUACUAAACAGAGUCUGUGACUUAACAAUUGAUUCAUGAUUUGUUAGUCUUGUACUCAUUGAUUGCUUGCUUUUUGCACAAAGUUUCAUGAUAGUAUUAUUAAAAAUUUUAAGGGUACCGUUUGAAAGAGACUGAAUCUGAUGACUUAGCUAAAUGAUAGUUAAAGAGGACGUAAAGUUUGGUCUAAUAUAUAAUCCCUCACAUGCGCGUAUGAAACCGUCCAACAUCAAAGUCACUAACGUGUGCUUCGUAUCAAAGUUAACAUAGAUAAUAGAUGGAAAAAAAUGUACCAAGUACAGCACUGGAGCAAUCUACAGUUACAUUCAAGGUCCGAAACCUUCGGUCCUCUGGUCGGCAGUUGUCUGGUGCCCUAUGGGAAUUCCCCGACACAGCUUCCUUAUGUGGCUUGUGGUUCUUGAUUGUUGUCCUACUAAAGACAGGUUACUUCGUUGGGGUCUUCCUGGAGUAAACCCUAUCUGUCUCCUUUGUAACUCUCAACCAGAAAGUCGUGACCAUCUCUUCUUCCAGUGCUGCUAUAGUGAAACUGUGUGGAGGACGAUCACUCUUCGCUGUCAAUUCCAAUCACCUGCGGGAUGGGAACAAAACUUGAAUCAUAUGAUUCAGCUAAGGGGAAACAAAGAUUUGCGUCGACUUACUCUAAUGGCAAUCCAAGCAACCGUAUAUUGGCUUUGGAAUGAGCGUAAUAAGAGGCACCAUCAACACAUCUUCAGAACAACGGACUCCUUGAUCGAAGUUAUUGACAAACAAAUCAGGAACCGGAUUCAGAGCUUUAGGUCUUUAAAUCCGCGUGCAUGUUCGGCGAUGAUGCAAUUGUGGUUCGUAAACUCUUGAUUUUCAACAUCAACCAGUUCAAUUGCAUCGAUGAAGACGAUGAUGAUCCCAAACACAUCUACCAGGCCUGGGCCACUUUCAUUAAUUGGGCCUCCUCUCAACUCCUAUACUCUCAUCAACUACAAGCACCGCAACCCAGAACCGACGGCUCGAUAACCAAGAAACAACUUUUGGAAUAUUUUAUUAUUUUUUCUUUUUUUUCGUCCGAAAAAAAAAAUGACCAAUCGCGGGCCGCCACGCGUAGUGGAACCCGCGAACAGUAACGAACUUAUGCAUGAAUCAGUCCUUAUGCAAGAGGUUUAUGGAGCACAGAAACCUAAAAAACGAAUAUUAUAAUAUUUGUUCUCUUAAAAAACAUUGCUAAGGACUCCUACCAACCUAGCGUUGCGGAUGCUCUAAGCUAUGUGUUUCUCUUAAAAACACUGGGUCGAGCCCAAUUCAAACCUUAGUCUCUUUAGACUUGUAAUAUUUUUACAUUUCCUUUUGUUUUAAAUUUGAAAGCCAAGUUACAAAAAAAAAAGUUAACAUAGAUUUUGAUAAGUUUUGUUUAUUGAUUACCUUCAAAGCUUUUAUUUAUUUAUUUAUUUAUUUACAUUUUUUUAACGCCGGAUAUAUUAUGCUAUUAUUUAAGAGCCGGUUCUUAGUUUUUUUAGUUAAAAGUUAAGAGACGGGUUCUUAUAUUCCGAUAAGAACCUCACCUUAAGAACCUCCCAAUAAUCAUGCUCUUAUACUAUUAAAAAAAUUAGAAGUACAUUACAUUAUAUUAAAAAAUAAUGAGCUUAUGUUUUCAAUAUAUAUAAGAAAAAUACAAUACAAAACCCAAUGUCAAACAGCAACUUAAAUUAUGGUUUUUAUAUUUCACAUUGAAAUAUAAAAUAGAUAUAUAUAUAAUUAUUUAUAGAGCAAUUCUCCUAAAUAGACCAUUUUCAAGUUUUGGUCACAAAAAUAGAGCACAAGGAGGAAAAUGACAAAAAUGUUUCAUUUAAUAGGUAAAAGGACUCUAAUACCCUAGAUAUAUAAAAUAAAAAUAAAAAAAUAAAAUAAAAAAUUUAUAGUUUUAGAUUAUAUGUUUUCAAAUUCGAACUUUUUUAUAAAUUUGUUUUUUUGAUUUUUUUUGAUUUUUUUAUUUUUCAAAUUUUAUUUUUGUAAUUAAAAAAUACUUUUUGAAACUAUUUUUAAAAUUUUUAUUUUCAAAUUUUUAAUAUUUAUUUUUUAUUUUAUAAAAUUUUAAACAUCAAUCCCAAAUCCCCACCCCUUAACUCUAAACCCUAGGGGUAUAAAUGAUUUACCUCUUUAAUGAAACAUUUUGGUCAUUUUGAUCCUUAGAGUCUAUAUUUGUGACAAAAACUUUUUUAUUGCUAUCUUAGGAUAUUUCUCUUAUUUAUAUGAUUGUACGUAUACAAUAUUAUUAAUUAUAAGAUUACUUAUUUGAUGGUACGUAUAAAAUACGAUUAAUUAUAUGAUAACACAUAUUUUUGUAACCUAUGAUGACACAUAUAUAACCUGCAGACUUAAACCAGCACUAACAUUCCAUAUAUAGUAUUUCAUUAUUUUUUAUUUUAUAAAUACUCGUUUUUCCGUUACAGUUUUGUUCAGUUUUUUAGUAGCAAUUCCUGUUUUGGUUAAAUCUGCAUGAAAAUGUGUCUUUUUGUAUAUAACAAAUAUUUAUAUAUAAUACUUUAUCCUCGCAUAAUAAACGAAGCCAUAUGUUCUCAUUUCUAAAAUAUGUUUUUGUGUUAUUUGUGAUAUUAUGAUUCAGGGUUGAGUUGUACAUAGAUGUUGUGGUUGCUGUAUAUAAUAUGGUUCAAUUAGGGUUGGGUUGGUAUGGUGUUGCACAAAAGACUUCCAAUUCUAAAUGGCUCUCUUACAUCUUGGAUCAGGUAUACAUUAACUCUCUUGAUUUAGAGUAUUUUUAUUUAUGUUACAGAUAUGUGCAUGAUAUAUAAAUUUCGAAAAUGAGUUAGACGGCGGUAUACGUGGUGUUCUCGGGAGCAUCUGCGGCGGCGCAACAUUCAUUGCUGGUGGUGACAGGUUCGAGGGAGCUUCAGUGGAUGAAGUGGUGCUACAAGUUCACAAGAUUCUGCUUCCAGAUCGGAAGUGCCAUCAUCUUAAACUACAUCGCGGUGGUGCUCAUGGUCAUCCUCUCCUUCCUUUCCGCUUUCAAC
rnacentral:lncRNA from 1 species